rnacentral:rRNA from 1 species
GCACUCCUACGGGGCGCAGCAGUGGGGAAUAUUGCACAAUGGGGGAAACCCUGAUGCAGCGACGCCGCGUGAGUGAAGAAGUAUUUCGGUAUGUAAAGCUCUAUCAGCAGGGAAGAAAAUGACGGUACCUGACUAAGAAGCCCGGGCUAACUACGUGCCAGCAGCCGCGGUAAUACGUAGGGGGCAAGCGUUAUCCGGAUUUACUGGGUGUAAAGGGAGCGUAGACGGCAGCGCAAGUCUGGAGUGAAAUCCCAUGGCUUAACCAUGGAACUGCUUUGGAAACUGUGCAGCUGGAGUGCAGGAGG